GACGAACGCUGGCGGCGUGCUUAACACAUGCAAGUCGAACGGAAAGGCCCUGCUUUUGUGGGGUGCUCGAGUGGCGAACGGGUGAGUAACACGUGAGUAACCUGCCCUUGACUUUGGGAUAACUUCAUGAAACUGGGGCUAAUACCGGAUAGGAGCUCCUGCUGCAUGGUGGGGGUUGGAAAGUUUCGGCGGUUGGGGAUGGACUCGCGGCUUUUCAGCUUGUUGGUGGGGUAGUGGCUUACCAAGGCUUUGACGGGUAGCCGGCCUGAGAGGGUGACCGGCCACAUUGGGACUGAGAUACGACCCAGACUACUACGGGAGGCAACAGUGGAGAAUAUUGCACAAUGGGCGGGGGCAUGAUGUAACAACGCCGCGUGCGGGAUAACAGCCUUCGGGUUGGAAACUGCUUUCGUCUGUGACGGAGCGUGAGUGACGGUAAUGGGUAAAGAAGCACCGGCUAACUACGUG
rnacentral:rRNA from 1 species